rnacentral:rRNA from 1 species
UACGGAGGAUGCGAGCGUUAUCCGGAUUUAUUGGGUUUAAAGGGUGCGUAGGCGGCGAGUUAAGUCAGCGGUAAAAGCCCGGGGCUCAACCCCGGCCCGCCGUUGAAACUGGCUGGCUUGAGUUGGGGAAAGGCAGGCGGAAUGCGCGGUGUAGCGGUGAAAUGCGUAGAUAUACGGAGGAACACCAGUGGCGAAGGCGGCCUGCUGGACAAUAACUGACGCUGAGGCGCGAAAGCGUGGGGAGCAAACAGG